GUCUGGAUAGCUCAGUGGUAGAGUGUCUGGGUGCAAACCAGAAGGUCCUGGGUUCAAUCCCCGGUCUGGUCA
rnacentral:tRNA from 1 species